CCAUGCGAGUCGAGAGGGUUCGGCCCUCGGCUGACGGCUCAGUAACACGUGNGAUAAUCUGCCCUAAGGUGGAGGAUAACCUCGGGAAACUGAGAAUAAUACUCCAUAGGUCUAGGAUGCUGGAAUGCACUUAGACUAAAAACUCCGGUGCCUAAGGAUGAGUCUGCGGACUAUCAGGUUGUAGUCAGGGUAAAGACCUGACUAGCCUACGACGGAUACGGGUUGUGAGAGCAAUAACCCGGAGAUGAUAUCUGAGACACGAUAUCAGGCCCUACGGGGCGCAGCAGGCGCGAAAACUUCACAAUGCGCGAAAGCGCGAUGAGGGAAUCCCAAGUGUAUGCACGUAAGUGUAAGCUGUUUCUAUGUUUAAAACGCAUAGAGAGUAAGGGCUGGGUAAGACGGGUGCCAGCCGCCGCGGUAAUACCUGCAGCUCGAGUGGUGGCCGCUAUUAUUGGGCCUAAAACGUCCGUAGCCGGUUUAAUAAAUGCCUGGGUAAAUUGUAUAGCUUAACUAUACGAAUUCCGGGUAGACUGAUAAACUUGAGACCGGGGGAAGUUAGAGGUACUCCUGGGGUAGAGGUGAAAUUCUGUAAUCCUAGGGGGACCACCGGUGGCGAAGGCGUCUGACUAAAACGGGUCUGACGGUGAGGGACGAAGCCCUGGGGCGCAAACGGGAUUAGAUACCCCGGUAGUCCAGGGUGUAAACGCUGCUUGCUUGAUGUUAGUCGGGCUUCGAGCCCGAUUAGUGUCGGAGAGAAGUUGUUAAGCAAGCUGCCUGGGAAGUACGGCCGCAAGACUGAAACUUAAAGGAAUUGGCGGGGGGAGCA
rnacentral:rRNA from 1 species